UACACUCCUGCGGGAGGCAGCAGUGGGGAAUUUUGGACAAUGGGCGAAAGCCUGAUCCAGCAAUGCCGCGUGAGUGAAGAAGGCCUUCGGGUUGUAAAGCUCUUUUGUCAGGGAAGAAACGGUGAGAGCUAAUAUCUCUUGCUAAUGACGGUACCUGAAGAAUAAGCACCGGCUAACUACGUGCCAGCAGCCGCGGUAAUACGUAGGGUGCAAGCGUUAAUCGGAAUUACUGGGCGUAAAGCGUGCGCAGGCGGUUUUGUAAGUCUGAUGUGAAAUCCCCGGGCUCAACCUGGGAAUUGCAUUGGAGACUGCAAGGCUAGAAUCUGGCAGAGGGGGGUAGAAUUCCACGUGUAGCAGUGAAAUGCGUAGAUAUGUGGAGGAACACCGAUGGCGAAGGCAGCCCCCUGGGUCAAGAUUGACGCUCAUGCACGAAAGCGUGGGGAGCAAACAGGAUUAGAAACCCGUGUAGUCCCA
rnacentral:rRNA from 1 species